UAAGCAUUAUACCGUGAAACUGCGAAUGGCUCAUUAUAUAAGUUAUCGUUUAUUUGAUAGUACCUUACUACUUGGAUAACCGUGGUAAUUCUAGAGCUAAUACAUGCUAAAAAUCCCGACUUCGGAAGGGAUGUAUUUAUUAGAUUAAAAACCAAUGCCCUUCGGGGCUCACUGGUGAUUCAUGAUAACUCCUCGAAUCGCAUGGCCUUGUGCCGGCGAUGGUUCAUUCAAAUUUCUUCCCUAUCAACUUUCGAUGUUUGGGUAUUGGCCAAACAUGGUUGCAACGGGUAACGGGG
rnacentral:rRNA from 1 species